AGAACCACAUAUUUAAACCAAGAGUGAUAAAAGAUAUCAUUUUCUACCAGUGAAACAAUUUAUAACCAGGCUUUUCUUAAAAAACACUUCAGCUCAGAGACACACUCCAGUGUGGUGUUGCACAGUCAGUGCAUUCUCUCCUACUUUUAGCACCCUAAGUACUAUUGUAAGGCAGGACAGCUGACAAAUUAUGUUUGACUUACGUUCAAUAUUUCCACCAACUCAAAAGGUUAUCCCUGCAGCUCUGGCAGCCUUAAGGUGAAUCACAUCCUCUCAGUUUAACAAAACCCUCUCAUCCAUAUGCUGUUUUCAUAACGGUCCACUUGAAGAAACACUGACUGACUGCCAGUGAGAAGUCCUCACUGUGUUGACUAUUAUUCUACUCUCUACAGGGUGGGCUAUUUCAUUGGAGGUAUCAAAUGAUCACAUAUUCUGCUUUCCCUUGAGUGGAAGUAGUGGUGAAGGCAUCAAUGAGCCACUGUCGAGGUGAAGGACGCUCACACGCAACCAAAAAGAGGCAGCUGUCAGUCAUCCACAAGAUUAAACCACCUCAGGAAUACUUCAUCUUUGGCUUGGAAAGCGUAAAAAUAGGAGAGUCUGUAAAGAUCUGCUGCAGCUGCUGCUGCUGCACCACAAACCAGAGGCAACACCACCAGCUGACUACAGGACGGGCCUUUGGGAGAGAGAAUAAAAGAACUGAGGCAGAUGGCAGAUCUAAGCAAGGUAGAUCACAGGCAACGACAUGAGUACAG